rnacentral:rRNA from 1 species
UACGUAGGGUGCAAGCGUUGUCCGGAAUUAUUGGGCGUAAAGAGCUCGUAGGCGGUCUGUCGCGUCUGCUGUGAAAACUCGGGGCUUAACCCCGGGCCUGCAGUGGGUACGGGCAGACUAGAGUGCGGUAGGGGAGACUGGAAUUCCUGGUGUAGCGGUGAAAUGCGCAGAUAUCAGGAGGAACACCGGUGGCAAAGGCGGGUCUCUGGGCCGUAACUGACGCUGAGGAGCGAAAGCGUGGGGAGCGAACAGG